CAGCUCUCCGAGUGGUAGGGAUGUUUAUUGGGCUUAAAGCGUCCGUAGCCGGCUUAGCAAGUCUCCUGUUAAAUUCAGCGACCUAAUCGUUGAGCCGCGGGAGAUACUACUAGGCUAGGAGGCGGGAGAGGCCGACGGUACUUCUGGGGUAGGGGUGAAAUCCUAUAAUCCCAGGAGGACCACCAGUGGCGAAGGCUGUCGACUAGAACGCGCUCGACGGUGAGGGACGAAAGCUGGGGGAGCGAACCGGAUUAGAGACCCGAGUAGUCC
rnacentral:rRNA from 1 species